rnacentral:rRNA from 1 species
GACGAACGCUGGCGGCGUGCCUAAUACAUGCAAGUAGAACGCAGUUGCGAACGGGUGAGUAACGCGUAGGUAACUGCCUGGUAGCGGGGGAUAACUAUCGGAAACGAUAGCUAAUACCGCAUACUACCAGAUGGACCUGCGUUGUAUUAGCUAGUUGGUGGGGUAACGGCGAACAAAGGCAACGAUACAUAGCCGACCUGAGAGGGGGAGCGGCCAACCUGGGACUGAGACACGGCCCAGACUCCUACGGGAGGCAGCAGUGGGGAAUCUUGGGCAAUGGACGAAAGCCUGAUGCAGCCAUGCCGCGUGUGUGAAGAAGGCCCUAGGGUUGUAAAGUACUUUCGGUCGGGAGGCGUUACCGACAGAAGAAGCCCCGGCUAACUCCGUGCCAGCAGCCGCGGUAAUUC